CGCUGCUAGUAGUACAUAACACCAGAACGCACUGUCUGCAGGGACAGGCAGGCAAUCACUUCUGAAUCACUUUACUGCCAACCAGUACUUUUACAUUUUGGAGCCACGAACAGCCUGUUUUUUCUUUCUUCGAGAUUGUUCUUCAAGCAUGGCGGAUUACUUAAUCAGCGGUGGUACAGGCUAUGUCCCUGAAGAUGGACUCUCAGCUCAGCAGCUCUUCUCGAUUGGAGAUGGCCUAACAUACAACAGAUCUGACCAACAGUGCGUUGGCUCCGAUGGUCAUACGGCUGAAGAGCUAUGCUCUAAAGGAGAUGGGUUGACUUACAAUGACUUCCUGAUAUUACCUGGCUUCAUCGACUUUACCUCAGACGAAGUGGACUUGACAUCAGCGCUGACCAGAAAGAUCACUUUGAAGACCCCUCUCAUCUCCUCCCCCAUGGAUACUGUCACAGAGUCGGCAAUGGCAAUUGCUAUGGCUCUGAUGGGAGGCAUUGGUAUCAUUCACCACAACUGCACACCAGAAUUCCAAGCCAAUGAGGUCCGCAAGGUCAAGGUUCUGAGGUUUGAGCAGGGUUUUAUCACAGACCCAGUUGUGAUGAGUCCGCGCCAGACAGUUGGGGAUGUGUUUGAGGCCAAAGUAAGACAUGGCUUCUCUGGUAUUCCUGUCACAGAGACAGGCAAAAUGGGCGGCAAACUGGUGGGCAUCGUCACUUCCCGAGACAUUGACUUCCUUUCUGAGAAAGACCGCGGCAAACCUCUUGAGGAGGCCAUGACAAAGAGGGAGGAGUUGGUAGUGGCUCCAGCCGGUGUUACACUGAAAGAAGCCAAUGAUAUUCUGCAGCGCAGUAAAAAAGGUAAGCUUCCCAUUGUAAAUAAUAACGACGAGCUGGUGGCCAUUAUUGCCAGGACGGAUCUGAAGAAGAACAGGGACUACCCGCUGGCCUCCAAAGACUCACGCAAACAGCUGCUGUGUGGCGCUGCCAUCGGCACCAGGGAGGAUGACAAAUACAGACUGGACCUGUUGGUGCAGGCUGGAGUGGAUGUUGUUGUACUGGACUCUUCACAAGGCAACUCGGUGUAUCAAAUCAACAUGAUAAAUUAUAUUAAACAGAAGCAUCCAGAAUUGCAGGUGGUGGGAGGAAAUGUGGUUACAGCCGCCCAGGCAAAGAAUCUGAUCGAUGCUGGGGUUGAUGCUCUGAGAGUCGGCAUGGGCUGCGGCUCCAUCUGCAUCACCCAGGAAGUCAUGGCAUGUGGGCGGCCCCAGGGGACCUCUGUGUACAAGGUAGCAGAGUACGCCAGGCGCUUCGGUGUGCCAGUCAUCGCUGAUGGCGGCAUUCAGACUGUGGGCCAUGUGGUGAAGGCUCUGUCUCUUGGAGCAUCGACUGUUAUGAUGGGCUCGUUGCUAGCGGCAACCACUGAGGCUCCAGGGGAGUACUUCUUCUCAGAUGGUGUCCGGCUGAAAAAGUACCGUGGUAUGGGCUCCCUAGACGCUAUGGAGAAGAGCACCAGCAGCCAGAAACGCUAUUUUAGUGAGGGCGACAAUGUGAAGGUAGCCCAGGGUGUGUCGGGCUCGGUCCAGGACAAGGGUUCCAUCCACAAGUUUGUACCUUACCUGAUAGCUGGUAUCCAGCAUGGCUGCCAGGACAUCGGGGCAAAGAGUCUUUCUGUUCUCCGUUCCAUGAUGUACUCUGGAGAGCUGAAGUUUGAGAAAAGGACCAUGUCUGCACAAGUGGAGGGAGGAGUUCAUGGACUUCACUCUUACGAGAAGCGGCUUUACUGAGCAGGGGAUGGAGUGCAGAUCGUCGUUGCACAUGAAACACCCAAUCUAACUGUGACCAAAUCCAGCUGCUUUUGGGAGGAAAGAGACGAGUAGCUAAGUGAGAAUCUCCAAACUGACAGCCGCCUCUCUGAACACCUGGGAUCUCACACUCAAGAAGUGGCACAUCAGGGAUUUCGGAAUGACGUACGCACCUGUCUCUUCAGUAUGCAGCCGAUCCCAAUUUAGCGUGUGGCUUGAGAGUAGUGGGAAAGUGAACUGCGUGCCUGGUUGGUGAAUUAAGGGUUGUGUGUGUCCAUUUUGUGAUAUAGUUUAAAAUGUGUCUUGGGGCAAGUAAGUGAAGGUACAGUGUGUUAAUAUUAGUGAGUCUAAAAUAGCCAUGGUGCAGAUCACAUCAGCAUCUUAUCUGGCUUUUUUUAAGGAUUCACACCUACCAGCCCACUCCCGAUCUCAAGUCUCUUACAUCCCAGCUCUUAAACACACUAGUAUGUACAAAAAAAACAAAAAAAACAAAAAACAAAACAAGACAAAACACUUGUCUUUUUAUGUGCUGUGUGUCUGUGUUUCAUGGCAAUCUUACCUUUUUAUUUUAUUUUUUUCUAUCACAGCUAUACGCUACUAAAGAACAGUAGCUGCUAAUAUUUCAGCGCAUAUUGUUUACUUCCUGGAUUGUGGAUCCCGAGGUACGAGAUAUUGGUCGUGACUAUUAUCCUUUCGACUCGGUCUCCUCCAGUGUCCCCUACAAUCAGUAGACGGAACCCAGACCCUCAGUCUUUAAUACUGUGAACAUUAAUUUUCCCUUCAACAAUAUCUUGACAAAUAAUCAGUAUCCCAUCUUAGUGCAGUGUGUUCAUAUGUUGAGCAUGGAAGGGACCAAAAGCUGAAGAUCAGGAAUGUUCGAAAGAAGAAAAAAAAAAAAAAAAAAAAACUAAAACGUAUCAAAUCAAUCAUAAAUUGUUCGUAAUGAGGACGAAGGACUAUUUCUCUAACCUUAAUUUGAAUACUUUUAGAUAAAAAAAACAACAACUUUAUAUUAAACCUGUAUUGUCUAGGGGGGGCUUUGAAUUGAGCAUGAAGUGUUUUUGAUAUGCAUGUUUGUUUUUUCACUAAGCCAAACAUGGAUGUAUUUAUAUUCUUCUUUUAUUGUAAUUGCACACAUACUGCCAAGCGUCUUUACAUUUCCUCUGACACUUUUCUUUUGUAAUUUCAAAACCAAAAUUGGCGUAAGAAGUCACCUGUUACCUUGUUAGUUGUUCAUUUCUGUAUUCUCAGUGUGGCAUAGGUUCUCUGUUACCAUAGGUGUAUUUUAGUUUGGAUUUAUUUGUUUCUUUUUACCGGAGAUAUGCCUUGAAAUGGGGAUGAAUAAAUGCUGUUCGACAGCUCAGUGCAAAAGCAUAAAGCUACACACCCUUUCGCCUCUUUUUAUUUAAAACAGAAUCGCUGUGUUUGUUAUCAGCUUAUGUAGGAGUAGGCUUUGUCAACAUUUUCAUAAUGGAUGUCCUUUUGGCCAUAACUGAAAUGUCCAAGAUUAUAAAAGUUGAGUUGUUUUCUCUAACAUACUAUGUACUUGACCCUGCACAGAGUUCACUUGACUAACAAAAGCCUUGUAAUUGGACUAAAUAGCAAAAUAAAUGAACAUGAAAAUAUGAAGAAAUAUAUAGCUUCCUGUAUCCAGUUGCAAGUGACUGCUGCUUGUUUUGAGUUUCCCAUAUAAAGAGAGUUCAGGUUUAUAUAAUGUCUAUUUUGUAAAGUACUGAGUCCUGUACGUCCAUCUAAAAAGCACACAUAUAGGGAAUAGUGUUAUGUGUUUUUAGUCUGAAGUAUAUUGCAAAGCUACAGUUGCCAGGACAUAGUGGUCCCUUCUCCAACCAACAACCAAAACUAUAAGCAUGGGCUUUUAAGAUGGAUGGAAAAGACUCGGUAUUCAUAAAUCCUUUUUUUGAAGAAGAAGAAUAUCACUUCAAAAUAUGUUUACAGGAAAACAUUCAACAGAGGAAAGUUGCUUUUGCUUUCUAUGGUAAAUAAAAAAUAAAAAUAAA